GUGCAUUGUCAUGCAUGAAGAUGAUUUUAUUACGGAAAGCAUAGUUCUUCCUUCUGUACCAGGGAAGAAAGUGCUGUCAGAAACUCCACAUACUUUGCAGAGGUCAUCUUUACACCUUCGGUGACCCUAAAGGGGCUGACCAGCUCUCUUACCAUGAUUCCGGGCCAAAACAUGACUCCUCCACUGCCUUGCUGAUGUCGCAGCCUUGUUGGAGCAGGGUGGCUGUCCACCAACCAUCCACUAC